rnacentral:rRNA from 1 species
UAAGGAAUAUUGGUCAAUGGACGCAAGUCUGAACCAGCCAUGCCGCGUGGAGGAUGAAGGUCCUCUGGAUUGUAAACUUCUUUUAUUUGGGAAGAAACCACCGAUUUCUAUUGGUGUUGACGGUACCAGAUGAAUAAGCACCGGCUAACUCCGUGCCAGCAGCCGCGGUAAUACGGAGGGUGCAAGCGUUAUCCGGAUUCACUGGGUUUAAAGGGUGCGUAGGCGGGUUGGUAAGUCCGUGGUGAAAUCUCCAAGCUUAACUUGGAAACUGCCGUGGAUACUAUCAAUCUUGAAUAUAGUGGAGGUGAGCGGAAUAUGUCAUGUAGCGGUGAAAUGCUUAGAUAUGACAUAGAACACCCAUUGCGAAGGCAGCUCGCUACACUAUUAUUGACGCUGAGGCACGAAAGCGUGGGGAUCAAACAG